rnacentral:rRNA from 1 species
AGGCGACGAUCCCUAGCUGGUCUGAGAGGAUGACCAGCCACACUGGAACUGAGACACGGUCCAGACUCCUACGGGAGGCAGCAGUGGGGAAUAUUGCACAAUGGGCGCAAGCCUGAUGCAGCCAUGCCGCGUGUAUGAAGAAGGCCUUCGGGUUGUAAAGUACUUUCAGCGGGGAGGAAGGGAGUAAAGUUAAUACCUUUGCUCAUUGACGUUACCCGCAGAAGAAGCACCGGCUAACUCCGUGCCAGCAGCCGCGGUAAUACGGAGGGUGCAAGCGUUAAUCGGAAUUACUGGGCGUAAAGCGCACGCAGGCGGUUUGUUAAGUCAGAUGUGAAAUCCCCGGGCUCAACCUGGGAACUGCAUCUGAUACUGGCAAGCUUGAGUCUCGUAGAGGGGGGUAGAAUUCCAGGUGUAGCGGUGAAAUGCGUAGAGAUCUGGAGGAAUACCCGGUGGCGAAGGCGGCCCCCUGGAUCGAAGACUACGUCAGUCAAAGCG